AACCAGACUCCUACGGGAGGCAGCAGUGGGGAAUAUUGCACAAUGGGGGAAACCCUGAUGCAGCGACGCCGCGUGAGCGAUGAAGUAUUUCGGUAUGUAAAGCUCUAUCAGCAGGGAAGAAGAUGACGGUACCUGACUAAGAAGCCCCGGCUAACUACGUGCCAGCAGCCGCGGUAAUACGUAGGGGGCAAGCGUUAUCCGGAUUUACUGGGUGUAAAGGGAGCGUAGACGGCGAUGCAAGUCAGAUGUGAAAGCCCGGGGCUCAACCCCGGGACUGCAUUUGGAACUGUGUGGCUGGAGUGUCGGAGAGGCAGGCGGAAUUCCUAGUGUAGCGGUGAAAUGCGUAGAUAUUAGGAGGAACACCAGUGGCGAAGGCGGCCUGCUGGACGAUGACUGACGUUGAGGCUCGAAAGCGUGGGGAGCGAACAGGAUUAGAUACCCGUGUA
rnacentral:rRNA from 1 species